CAAGUCGAACGAUGAAGCCUUUCGGGGUGGAUUAGUGGCGAACGGGUGAGUAACACGUGGGCAAUCUGCCCUUCACUCUGGGACAAGCCCUGGAAACGGGGUCUAAUACCGGAUAACACUCUGUCCUGCAUGGGACGGGGUUAAAAGCUCCGGCGGUGAAGGAUGAGCCCGCGGCCUAUCAGCUUGUUCUGGGGUAAUGGCCUACCAAGGCGACGACGGGUAGCCGGCCUGAGAGGGCGACCGGCCACACUGGGACUGAGACACGGCCCAGACUCCUACGGGAGGCAGCAGUGGGGAAUAUUGCACAAUGGGCGAAAGCCUGAUGCAGCGACGCCGCGUGAGGGAUGACGGCCUUCGGGUUGUAAACCUCUUUCAGCAGGGAAGAAGCGAAAGUGACGGUACCUGCAGAAGAAGCGCCGGCUAACUACGUGCCAGCAGCCGCGGUAAUACGGAGGGUGCAAGCGU
rnacentral:rRNA from 1 species